rnacentral:tRNA from 1 species
AUUCUUGUAAUUUACUUAAAAUAUUACACUUUCUCUGUGAAAAUAGCUGAUUCAGCUCAAGAUUA